GAAGUAUUAUGUUGAUCAAUAAUACAAUACUUGCUUCUUGAAACUAGCAUUUGAUGAUUAGACUUUUAUUUGUAAAUUUUUUAGGAUUGCAUAAGUCAAUGUUACAUGCCUUAAACGCAAGCAACAAGUAUGGUAGGACAAGAUUAUUUGUUGUUUAUCUUUGAAAUAUUUUGUAGAACUGUGUUUGAUGUUUAUCAGUUUGGAUUUUUAUUUUUUAUUUUUUAAAUUUAGAUGACCAACUUGGUGGUCAAAUGUGUGAUAUUCUGUGGAAAUAUAAGAGUAGUUGUAGAGAAAUGACCCUUCGCCACUUAUUUGACAGGAACCAUUUCUGGGGAUUUUUUCCCUUAUGCACCCAUUGCAACACUCUUUUUUUUUUGGCUAGACAAGUUUACAUUUACUAACCGAGACUUCCUAUGUACAGGAUGAUGAGUGACUAUGCUGUGCAGCCAAUAAAUGAUGGGAUUAGUGAAUUCAAUGUGGAAUUCCAUGGUCCAAAAGAAAGUGUUGCUGAGAGAAUAGUUGAUAUGAUGGCGCAAGUAAUAUUGGAAGCUAAAUUGAGAUUGUUUUUUUAUUUUUUAUUUUUUUUGAGGACUUGAAUUUGUUAGUACUUUGUAUAAAUAUAUUUAAGGAUGGUUGAUAGAUAUUUGUUUUGCA